UACGGAGGGUGCGAGCGUUGUCCGGAUUUAUUGGGUUUAAAGGGUGCGUAGGUGGCUAAUUAAGUCAGUGGUGAAAUACAGCCGCUCAACGGUUGAGGUGCCAUUGAUACUGAUUAGCUUGAAACAAGUGGAGGCUGCCGGAAUGGAUGGUGUAGCGGUGAAAUGCAUAGAUAUCGUCCAGAACGCCGAUUGCGAAGGCAGGUGGCUACGCUUCGUCUGACACUGAGGCACGAAAGCGUGGGGAGCGAACAGG
rnacentral:rRNA from 1 species